rnacentral:tRNA from 1 species
GCCCGGCUAGCUCAAUCGGUAGAGCGUGAGACUCUUAAAGAGGGAUUACGUCAUCUCAAGGUUGUGGGUUCGACCCCCACGUCGGGCU